rnacentral:rRNA from 1 species
AGCGAACGCUGGCGGCGUGCUUAACACAUGCAAGUCGAGUGCGCAGCUUUCUGUAGCAAUACAGGAAGCCGGCGCACGGCGCACGGGUGCGUAACACGUGGGUAACCUGCCCUCCAAAGGGGGAUAACCCCGCGAAAGCGGGGCUAAUACCGCAUGACAUUCCGAAGACUUCGGUAUUCGGAAUCAAAGCCCGCAAGGGCGUUGGGGGAGGGGCCCGCGGCCGAUUAGCUUGUUGGCGAGGUAACGGCUCACCAAGGCAUUGAUCGGUAGCCGGUCUGAGAGGAUGGCCGGCCACACUGGAACUGAGACACGGUCCAGACUCCUACGGGAGGCAGCAGUGGGGAAUCUUGCGCAAUGGGCGAAAGCCUGACGCAGCGACGCCGCGUGGGGGAUGAAGCUUCUCGGAGUGUAAACCCCUUUCGACCCGGACGAAACGCCCGUAAGGGCUUGACGGUACGGGUAUAAGAAGCCCCGGCUAACUACGUGCCAGCAGCCGCGGUAAGACGUAGGGGGCCAGCGUUGCUCGGAAUUACUGGGCGUAAAGGGUUCGUAGGCGGUGCGGCAAGUCGGAAGUGAAAUCCCUGGGCUUAACUCAGGGGCUGCUCCCGAAACUGCCG